CUUCAGAAAAGGGUGGGACCCUACACACAGGUGGUUCCAUUACCACUCAUGAGCAUGCCCUUCGUAUGGAAAAAGAGUUGGGGCGAGAGGCAUAUAUUGAUGAGGUAUUUUACCAAACUCGUCUUCGCAAGGGAUCUAGCCAGUUUGUUGAUGAAAGGUCUCGAAGAACACAUGAAGAAUUUUCAACUAGACUGUCACAGGUCAGAUCUGAGCAAGGGUCCUGUGCUGAGGCGUCAGAGCAUAAUGAUGAGGAAGACGUCAUUA